CAGGCUCGGAAGGCAGCAGCAGUAAGAAA
rnacentral:SRP_RNA from 15 species